CUGAAACUUAACCCACCGAAAGCCGCCAUGACUGACGUUGAGCUCUCUCGCUCAGAGAAGAAGAAAAAGAAAUCAAAGUCUGGCAAAAAUGAUGACGAAACACAAACACUAUCCACCCCAAUUGAUGGUGAUUUUCUCAUCAAACCUCAAAGCUACACACCCACCAUUGACACUUCAGAAUGGCCGAUUCUAUUGAAAAACUACGAUCGUCUCAAUGUCAGAACGGGUCACUACACUCCUCUCCCAUCUGGGUUUUCUCCAUUGAAGCGUCCGCUUGCUGAGUAUAUAAGGUAUGGUAUUCUUAAUCUUGAUAAACCUGCUAACCCAUCUUCACAUGAAGUUGUAGCUUGGAUUAAGAGGAUUCUUCGGGUCGAGAAAACGGGUCAUAGUGGUACUUUGGAUCCUAAAGUUACUGGGAAUUUGAUUGUUUGUAUUGAUAGAGCGACCCGUUUGGUUAAAUCCCAACAGGGUGCGGGUAAAGAGUAUGUGUGUGUUGCUAGGUUGCAUUCUGAUGUACCUGAUGUUGCUAAGGUUGCUAGGGCACUUGAAGCUCUUACUGGGGCUGUUUUUCAAAGACCCCCUUUGAUUUCUGCUGUGAAAAGGCAG
rnacentral:misc_RNA from 1 species